CAUGGUUUACUACAUAAGAUAAGCUCACUAAUCAUUUUGUUAAUGUUAGAGAUUUAGUGACUAAUAAAGUAUCCUGUUGAACUACGGGUAAUCACGCGAGAAGGGAGAACAGAGGGAACUGAGGGAAGAGUUGCACGAGCACGAAAGCUAGUCGGCAGCUAAUAGUGCUUUUACGGCACUUAACGUUUUAAGUUGGACUAUUCAUGGUAUCGGACACUGCUCUCGCCGGCGUAGGAGUUUGUGACUGUGGGGCUACCACUGGAGGUGUGUGUAUUUGCACUGGGAAGUGAGCUUAGACCUGUCAGUUUCUGUGGCUAAGUUAGCUCGUGGCUUCGCGGGACUGUGACACCGUCGUGGGAGGGACCGCAGACACACCGUUCGCCUGCUGGACAAGAGGAGACCACAUCGGAACGCUGGUGUUUUCCUCCACGGAGGGCUGUGUUGCUGGUGGUGACGGACGAACGAAGCUGUGUAACCCUCGCUGUGCUGCUGCGGACAACGUCGCCCCGGUAGGAUCUGGGUUUUCCACUCCACUCAAGGAGGAGCAUCUGGAUUCAGCAGAGAUCCAGUGUGUGAUGGGAGCAUGUCGUCACCAGCUGGAAAGAUUAUGAAUGGAAGGCAAAUUUUAGAAUGAGAAAGAUCCCAUUCUUGCAGUUGUGCAACAUCAUCCAGCCACACCUUCAAAGAGAGACAACUACAUUUAGGAAACCAGUGCCUGUGGAGCACCGAGUGGAGGUGGGCAUCUGGAGACUGGCUACAAAUGAGGUGUUCAGAACCAUCUCCCAUUUAUUUGGGAUUGGCCAGUCUAUUGCCGUCACUAUAGCCAAUCAGGUUGCCUCUGUAACUGUGAACAACAUCAGAAUACCCUCUGAACAAGAAUUCAAGAUUAUUAUUCAAGGUUUCCGAGACCGGUGGAGUUUCCCGCAAUGCGGAAGGGCUAUUGAUGGGACUCAUAUUGGCAUUUUAGUUCCAGUUGACAGCCCUGCAGACUACUACAAUUGUAAAGGCUUCCAUUCUGUCAUCCGGCAAGGUGUGGUGGACCAUCAACUUAGAUUCUGGGACAUCAAUGUGGGUUGGCUGGGCAAAGUCCAUGAUGCCAGAGUGUUCGGCAAUUCAACCUUGUACGAGAGGGCUCAGAGUAGUACACUGUUCCCUAAUAUCACAGAGAGGUUUGCAGGAGUAGAUCUGCUGGAGUCUACUCAAUAUCCUGUUUGCCGCUUGGUGUUCCUUCUUCUGUAACUGUUGUUGAUGCUCCUCCAUCUCCAUUUGUGCCUUCAUCCGGUUUUUGAGCAUCUCCUUCUCUUGCUGGUGACGCAGCUGCUCCCUUUGCAUAAAUUCUUCAUGUUUUUGCUUUUGCAUGUUCUUAAAGGCCACCAUCAUGUCACUCACAUCUGUCUUUCUCUUCCUCUUCCUGCUCUGCUCUGGGGGAGCUCUAUCAGGUGUACUACUAUCAGAGGUCUCAGCCUGUGUCUCAUCACCAGUGUCUGACUGAACUGCAGUGUGUGAUAUGACUAUCAAAAUUAAAGCAACAUAUAAAAAAA